rnacentral:misc_RNA from 1 species
GAUGAAGAACGUAGCGAAAUGCGAUAAGUAAUGUGAAUUGCAGAAUUCCGUGAAUCAUCGAAUCUUUGAACGCACAUUGCGCCCCCUGGCAUUCCGGGGGGCAUGCCUGUCCGAGCGUCAUUUCUGCCCUCCAGCCCGGCUGGGUGUUGGGCGCUGUCCCCCCGGGGACACGCCCCAAAGGCAGUGGCGGCGCCGCGUCGGGUCCUCGAGCGUAUGGGGCUUUGUCACCCGCUCGGGACGGACUCGUCGGCGCUGGUCUUCCUCCAGGCGACCCUUCGGGGCUCGUCUUCCUUCGGUUGACCUCGGAUCAGGUAGGGUUACCCGCUGAACUUAAGCAUAUCAAUAAGCGGAGGGA